GGCAGCGGGCGCAGAGCCGCCCAGGGGCGCGCGGGAGCUCCGCUGUGCCGCUCCCCGUCCGUUGGGAGGGAGGCGUUCUCGGUGUCCGUCAUGGCGGCGGUGAGGGGUUCCAGUGUCAGGAGGGAAAGGCAGCUCCCAGAACCUCAGGGAAUGCUGGUCUCACGCCCUCAGGCGAAAGAACGUACAGGUGUUCAUUUGUAAGAUGACAUGAACCUUGUCUCUGUGCAUCCUUUGUGGACACCACGUUACACACAGAAUAGUCCCAUCACCGAGUCACAUUUGUUCUGCUGGACCUCCCUCCACCACCCUGGCAUCAUCAGACAGGCUCUGCACAGUGUACUGCCUUGCUUUUGGAGGCCCCUUUGAUGGAACUCCAGAUUCCUAGAGUCCAAAGGGAGGUGAGUGGAAAUCCUUUUCCUGUGAGGAGAGGAAUGAAGUCAGGCUGUCAUGCUUUUCCAAGGACAUGCUGCAUGUGCCUGAAUCUGCCUGCCUGCAGGUGAAGAAGUGGACAAUAAAGACUUUAUAGAGAGCACAUUAAGGAGUUGUUUUUCAAAGUUGUUUUGUAUUAACUUCUACAAACUGAAGCUUUGUGCUAACUGCUGGCUUGUAGUACAGCUUGGUGUCAACGGUUCACGGGCG